rnacentral:tRNA from 1 species
GGCUGGAUGGCCGAGUGGACUAAGGCGCAGCAUUCAGGUUGCUGUUUUCAGGGGUUCGAAUCCCCUUUCAGUCAC